rnacentral:rRNA from 1 species
GCAGCAGUGGGGAAUAUUGCACAAUGGGCGAAAGCCUGAUGCAGCGACGCCGCGUGAGGGAUGACGGCCUUCGGGUUGUAAACCUCUUUCAGCAGGGACGAAGCGCAAGUGACGGUACCUGCAGAAGAAGCACCGGCUAACUACGUGCCAGCAGCCGCGGUAAUACGUAGGGUGCGAGCGUUGUCCGGAAUUAUUGGGCGUAAAGAGCUCGUAGGCGGUUUGUCGCGUCGGCCGUGAAAACUUGGGGCUUAACUCCAAGCUUGCGGUCGAUACGGGCAGACUUGAGUUCGGCAGGGGAGACUGGAAUUCCUGGUGUAGCGGUGAAAUGCGCAGAUAUCAGGAGGAACACCGGUGGCGAAGGCGGGUCUCUGGGCCGACACUGACGCUGAGGAGCGAAAGCGUGGGGAGCGAACAGGAUUAGAUAC